AAGGGUAGAGCUCAGGGGUAGAGCGCUUGCUUAGCAUGCACAUGGUCCUGGGUUCAAUCCCCAGUACCUCCA
rnacentral:tRNA from 1 species